rnacentral:rRNA from 1 species
UGGGGAAUUUUGGACAAUGGGGGCAACCCUGAUCCAGCAAUGCCGCGUGUGUGAAGAAGGCCUUCGGGUUGUAAAGCACUUUUGUCAGGGAAGAAACGGUGAAGGCUAAUAUCCUUUGCUAAUGACGGUACCUGAAGAAUAAGGACCGGCUAACUACGUGCCAGCAGCCGCGGUAAUACGUAGGGUCCAAGCGUUAAUCGGAAUUACUGGGCGUAAAGCGUGCGCAGGCGGUUGUGUAAGUCAGAUGUGAAAUCCCCGGGCUUAACCUGGGAAUGGCAUUUGAGACUGCACGCCUACAGUGUGUCAGAGGGGGGUAGAAUUCCACGUGUAGCAGUGAAAUGCGUAGAGAUGUGGAGGCAUACCGAUGGCGAAGGCAGCCCCCUGGGAUAACACUGACGCUCAUGCACGAAAGCGUGGGGAGCAAACA